GACGAACGCUGGCGGCGUGCUUAACACAUGCCAGUCGAACGGUGAACUCCGCUUGCGGGGGGAUCAGUGGCGAACGGGUGAGUAACACGUGGGCAACCUGCCCUCAGCUCUGGGAUAACUCCAAGAAAUUGGGGCUAAUACCGGAUAUGACCGCUGACCGCAUGGUCUGGUGGUGGAAAGAUUUAUCGGCUGGGGAUGGGCCCGCGGCCUAUCAGCUUGUUGGUGGGGUAGUGGCCUACCAAGGCGACGACGGGUAGCCGGCCUGAGAGGGUGACCGGCCACACUGGGACUGAGACACGGCCCAGACUCCUACGGGAGGCAGCAGUGGGGAAUAUUCCGCAAUGGGCGAAAGCCUGACGCAGCGACGCCGCGUGGGGGAUGACGGCCUUCGGGUUGUAAACCUCUUUCAGCAGGGACGAAGCGAAAGUGACGGUACCUGCAGAAGAAGCACCGGCCAACUACGUG
rnacentral:rRNA from 1 species